AAGGAAUAAAGUCUUGAUGUGUCUCAUAUCAGUUCUAUAGGGAGGUUUUGGGUGUCAUGUAUAUAGGUUUGCAAGCCUCUCCUUAUGAAUUAACUUUUGAGGUAGAGUUAAACGAGUUCAUAUCAAGUCUUAGCACUGUUUGUUUUGUGGUGAAUAUUUUAUACCACUUGUUUUCUACAGCCUUUUAUGUUGGUAACUGUCAAUAAUGAAAUUAUCCAAGAAAUUUCAUGAUUUAUAUCACAUGCUUCCCUUGAGAAUACAAACUAACCUGUACUGUUACAAACUGCUUGUUGUUUGCUAUAUUCUUUCAUAGGUUGAGAUG
rnacentral:misc_RNA from 1 species